AGACGGACCGGCACUCGACUGACCUCCCCCUUGUACAGCAGGCUGCCCACUGGACACACCACGCAGGCCGUGCCCGAGCCGAACACCUCCCUCACACGGCCCUUCUGGAGGGCGCCGAGGAACUCCGGCAUCGUCACGGCGCGCUCCGAGACCGCGAACUCCCCCUGGGCACACAGAGAGCGCCGUCAGGACACGCCGCGCACGCGCACACACGCGCACACACCCAGACACACACGCACGCAACGUACGCACGCGCACACACACCCAGACACACACGCACGCACCUGCACGCACACACACGCAACGUACGCACGCACGCACGCACGCACACACACCAACACACACGCACAGACCUCUGGCGCCCCCUGGAGGAACGCGGGGCCCGUGCACACAUGUCCACUUCAGGAUCCGACUCCUCCCGGACUCCGGACUCCGGACUGGACACUGGGGUGUGACCCCCAGAAAACGGCGCCCCCGUUCUUUCCCAAACCGCCCCCCCCUUCCCUCCCCGAAGCUGGGGAAAACGGGGUCGGGAGAGCGACCUCACUAGGAGGUCUGCAGCGCCGUGUGCCUCUGGCGCCCCCUGGGGAGACGAGGCUGCACGCACACGCCCGCCCCCCCGCUCAGAGAGUCACCGGGGGUGAAACUCUUCUGUUGGGGUGCAGGACGUGGUGUGCGGAAAUCGGGGGGGUGGGGGGUGGUCGUUGUCUGUUGAAACGGGGGCUUGAACGUCAGCGAUGUAGCCGCCCCAAAACCUCAGACUGUCCGCCUCGUCGGCACGGCGCCGCUGCGCACGCCCUGUCCAGGGGGGGGCGCUGCAGGCACCUCCUUCAACAUGCCGUGCCCCGCCAGCGGGGUUCCCCCCUUCCUGACCCACGGGUAUCCCUGGCUCCCCCCCCCCGAUCCCGCUGCUCAACCCAGACCGGGUGGCGGUGUGUUGACGCACACACCCCCGGUCCUGAACGUGAAGAGCACCCGUCACGACAGUCACAGCCAGAGCGAGCGCAGGGGGGGGUCUGGAGCCCCGGACCCCGGAGAGAGGCUCGCUCUGUACUGCCCCUCCACUGCCCCCCGCCCCGUGAACACACCCUCACCACGCCAGGACACGACCACCCGCGCCCCCCUAACACACCUCCCGGCGGACCGCCAGGAGGCACGCAGUGCACGCUGGGAGACAACAUGACCUCACAGGAAACUCACCCACUCUCUGGCCAGAUCGAGGAGUGACUGUCGGGUCACCCCUGGGAGGAUAACACCGUCCAGUGGAGGAGUCACUAACUCCCUGUCUACAGGGGCGGAGAGAGAGAGGGGUU
ensembl:lincRNA